CAAGUACUCCCUCCGUCCGGAAUUACUUGUCAUCAAAAUGGAUGUGUCUAGAACUAAAAUACAUCUAGAUACAUCCAUUUCAAUGACAAGUAUUUCCAGAUGGAGGGAGUACAAG
rnacentral:pre_miRNA from 1 species